GAUGGGGGACGAGGUGUCAAUCAUCUGCACCCUGUUGGGAAAUAAUUAUUUCUCCCACUGUUUGUCUAUAUAUUAGGGUCCUUGUUACACGUUGUCUUAUACUGGUUGCUUUAAUUCUUGACCACAUCUCCCAAACACAGGGUUCUUAAAAAGACAGAUAAAUCAUACAUUUUUAUUAUCUUCCAAAGUUUCCCCCCCCCACAUUCCCCCCAAAAAUGGACUGCAUAUAUCCCAAACAGGAUGCACUCUACUAACUAUGUAUAGAACUGUGUAUCUUUAGUGCAUAUAAUCAAUGGAACGGUAGGCCUGUGGUUAGUGUUAUCCAUGUGGGAUGACUUUUUGAAGCCUGAUUAAUUUUAUUUGGGCCCAUUUACUUCCCUAGAUUUCUUUACAGGUUAUAAAAAAAAAAAAAAAAAAGUGAAGUGUGUGGCUGAUGUUGGCUUUUCUAGAGGACAUGAGGACUCUUCCUCUAACUGGCCUGUAAUAAGAAAUCUAGGCUUCUCUCCUUCCGUGGCCUCAGAGACCACAGAGGCCAGGAUUCUCUGGAAUUCUUUGCUAACCGUGACCUCACGGACUCAAGUUUAAUAUGGCGUGCUUUGUCCUCACCCCACUGUCUGAGGAACCUGCCAUUUGACUAACCUUAUAAGUUCCUAUCAGUUGGUGAAACUUAAAAGUUGCUGUCCUUUACUCCAGGUGACCUCACCUGUCCAACCUCCCCCUGUUCCUCCAGCUCAUUCCUCAUCUGUGUGACGUCAUCCCUCAACUAGUUAUCGAAUUGAUUUAGGAUAAUUCACUAAAGUAUGCACUGUGCAAUUAAUAAAUGUUUGCUAAAACA
rnacentral:lncRNA from 1 species